rnacentral:rRNA from 1 species
UGGGGAUGACGUCAAGUCCUCAUGGCCCUUAUGGGUAGGGCUUCACACGUCAUACAAUGGUCGGUACAGAGGGUUGCCAAGCCGCGAGGUGGAGCCAAUCCCUUAAAGCCGAUCGUAGUCCGGAUCGUAGUCUGCAACUCGACUACGUGAAGUCGGAAUCGCUAGUAAUCGCAGAUCAGCACGCUGCGGUGAAUACGUUCCCGGGCCUU